UGAGGAAUCUUGCGCAAUGGGGGAAACCCUGACGCAGCAACGCCGCGUGAGUGAAGAAGGCCUUCGGGUCGUAAAGCUCUGUCAGAUGGGAAGAAGUGGAUGGGGGCUAAUAUCGUCCAUCCUUGACGGUACCAUCAGAGGAAGCACCGGCUAACUCCGUGCCAGCAGCCGCGGUAAUACGGGGGGUGCAAGCGUUGUUCGGAAUCAUUGGGCGUAAAGCGCGCGCAGGCGGCUUGGUAAGUCAGAUGUGAAAUCCCUGGGCUCAACCCCGGAAGAGCAUUUGAUACUGUCAGGCUUGAGUAUGGUAGAGGAAAGUGGAAUUCCUUGUGUAGAGGUGAAAUUCGUAGAUAUCAGGAUGAACACCGGUGGCGAAGGCGACUGUCUGGACCAAUACUGACGCUGAGGCGCGAAGGCGUGGGGAGCAAACA
rnacentral:rRNA from 1 species